AGCAGCCGCGGUAAUUCCAGCUCCAAUAGCGUAUAUUAAAGUUGUUGCAGUUAAAAAGCUCGUAGUUGAAUUUUGGAUUCCACCAAUGGGUCCAUCUUUUGAUGAGUACUGGUUGUGUGGGGUCUAUCCGCCUGGUGAUACGUAAUGUCCUUUAUUGGAUGUUGCGGGUAGUCAGGACCUUUACCUUGAAAAAAUUAGAGUGUUUAAAGCAGGCUUAUGCCGGAAUACAUUAGCAUGGAAUAAUAGAAUAGGACGAAGUUGUUUUAUUUUGUUGGUUUCUAGGACAACCGUAAUGAUUAAUAGGGAUAGUUGGGGGCAUUAGUAUUCAAUUGUCAGAGGUGAAAUUCUUGGAUUUAUUGAAGACUAACUACUGCGAAAGCAUUUGCCAAGGAUGUCUUCAUUAAUCAAGAACGAAAGUUAGGGGAUCGAAGACGAUCAGAUACCGUCGUAGUCUUAACCAUAAACUAUGCCGACUAGGGAUCGGGCGAUGUUGUUUCAAUGACUCGCUCGGCACCUUAUG
rnacentral:rRNA from 1 species